rnacentral:lncRNA from 1 species
AUGCCUAAGCUGGCAGAGUGGGCAGAAAUAGAAAUUUCGGAUGGAAGUGAAGUGAAGCUAUUUCCUCGCCUCCAACAUUUGAAAAUUUAUGAUUGCGAGCAAUUGAUGAGUGUUCCAAGUCAUGUCUCGUCAUGCCUUGAAGAAUUGAUAAUUGAUGAGAUCGGUGUGGAAUGUCUGCCAGCUGAUUGGUUAUUGAGUAACAGCGAGACUCUCUCUUAUUUGUAGAUAAGAGAGUGCCCGAAUUUGAGAGAAAUAUCAGAUAGGUGGGGAGAAGAAGAAUCAGAAGGAAGAAGCUUCACAAUCACAUCCCUCCCUAUAUUCCCUCGUCUAACAGAUUUGAUAAUCAAAGCGUUCCUAAGUUAAGUUUGGAGACUGUGGAUGCAAUGCGGCGCCUCGAAGUUGAUGGAUACAAAUACAUUGACCCGUGACGGUGAGUAUCAAUAUCUUUUGCUAGAAACAGUUGUAUGUGUAUUUUAUUUGAAAAUGAAAUUCUAAUUAUUAGAAAUUGAAGUAGCCUACUAAAAUCUAUUAUCUUAUUUUAUGGAGUUUCUAAUUCACUUGCUCUUCUUAGUUUGGGGAUUGAGAUUCAUACCACACUUGAUUAUAUUUUUAUAUAUUUUUCUCUAAUUUCAACUUUGAAUGCUUUUGUUUAAUUUUGUGAUUAUUAAUUGGGCUUCAUUCCAUCUAAUUAGGGUAUAUAAUUAUUUUUAUCAAUUAAUUAGUUAAUAAUAGGUUGAAAUUUUUUAAAUUAUGGUAUAUAAUUUUAUAAAAAUUUAAUAUUUUGAAAUAAAUAUUGAGAAUAAUUCAUAGUAUUAUAAUUAUAUUUUUAUAAAAAAUAUUAUUAAAAUAAUAGAUAUAAGAAUGCAAUAUAGUGACGUACAUAAAAUUGUGGGACCAUCAAUCUCAUCCCUUAGUUUGGUGCUCCCACUUCAUCUCAAUACGCUUAAACAUGCAAUAUAUAGGAGAGUAAUUAUUUUGAGUUUGUUUACUAUAUUUUUACAGCGACUCGUCAUCUUAGCUUUUUUUCCAUUAAUUCUUUUUUGCGUUGAUACAGUUAAUCCCGAGGAACCUGAAAUGUGUGUAAUUCAGUGAAGCAGGCGAUCUAGUGAAGAAGGAAUAAGUGAGUAUCCAUUUUCCCCAUGAUAACUUGCUCAAGCUCAACCUCUUUUCAUAAUUUUUUUUGUAAUUCCAUAUCUAUUCUUUGUUUAAACUUUAUUUGAUAGGAUUAUUAUAUCAAGGGUUGAAGAAGAUGCAUGUUUGGAUACCAAUUUGUUUCACAAUUGAUAUGAUUCUCAAAGACUCAAAUUAACUUUAUUAAUCAUUGUGUCUAAACUAAGGAUUCACAUCAUUAUUUAUGCCCAUAGACACAAAAGUGGUAUUACUUAAUGCUAAAAUGUGAAAUUCACAACCAAGCUUAUGUAAGGAGAUCAAAUCAUUUAGCUCACUCGCCAUUUCCUAUUUUAUGUUAAUUUUAUGUUAUAACAAGUUGUAGUGUUUACCAGCUCUAAGGUUGCAAUUGCGAAUUAGGAAACACAAAACAAAACAAAACAAAUACCAAACAUCUUCCAUAUCCAUUUUGAACAUUACUUUUUAUAAGGCUCGUUUGUUUAUAUAGUUAUAAAGUUGAUAGUUUUCAGCUAAGUAUAUUGUACUCCCUCUCUUGAAACAUCUUCCUUUAUUUCAUUUUCGUUCGUCCUCGAACAUCUACCUAGUCCACUUUUGUAAAUUCCAUAAUUAUUAUCUUUCAAUUUUCACAUAUUUACACUAAUUGCACAAAUCACCCACCACUUUUCAUUUUAAUUGGUCUCUAUUAUCACUUUUUAUAUAUCACUUUUUCUAAUAUAUGAGAUCUAUUUUCUACUCAUCAAAUAAACAGCCAACUUUUAUUAAAACUCGUGUUGCCUCCCAUUCGAAAGAUGUUUUAGGGCCAGAGAGUGUAUGGUAUUAAUAUUAUGUUUGAUUAAAUGUAUUACAUUAUCUGUUUUAUAAAUCUAUAUAAUAUAAAAAAUGGAGUUUCCCCCCCCCCGCUUUUUCUUUCUCCUCUCCCAUCAUUUUUUUAGGGAUAUUCGCGGUAAAAUACACGAACUUUCAGCAAAUUCUGAUUUUUCCCAUAAUCUUUAAAAUUUGAAAAGAAAUACUAAACCUCGAUUUUUACUGAAUUUUCCUAUUGGUAUAAAAUACUCCCACAUUGAAACUGAUUUUUUAGGGCUUUCACUUAGAUUUGUUGAUACCUAAGCUGAUGCAUCGACUUUAUUAUGCCACAUUUAUUAUCCGUCAUGCUUAAGUAUCAAAAAAUCUAAGUCAAAAGCCCUAAGAAAAAAUUGAAAGGUGGUACUCCCUCUGUCCCACUAAAAGUGGCCCGUAUUCCAUUUUGGGCCGUCCCACUAUAAGUGGCCUAUUUCCGUAAAUUGAAAAAUUUAACCCUUAAAAAGGUGUAGGCACUACCACUUUUAACCAAUUUACACCUCCUUAAUUCUUGCUACAAGAAUUAGUUUUUGUUGGAUUUGAAGUAUUGGAGGCUCUUCAACGUUUCCACAAUAAUCCCAUGAUCAAGGAUACUGCAAAAGCAUGUGUCAGCAAUGAAGUCAAGAAUGCUGUUGUGGAAUCUUCAGAAAUGGCUUCAAAAUAUUUGUAAUAACUGGGAUUUUGUUGGGGAGAUGUCUAAAAUAUAUACAAUAGAAACGAUGAAAAUCUAAAGUAUCUUUUUCUGGAAAAGAGGUAAUAUGAAGUUUAGUUUAAUCCCUUAGUUCUUGGCUGAUUUGUUGUCUAAUUUUCAGGUGGAUUUAGAGGGGCAUUUUGAGUAUCUGUCAAGUCUUAUUGAGCCAUUUUGAGCUUUGUUAUAGAUUUUCUGAUAGAAUCAAAUAAAUUUCAAGAUGACAUGAGGAUAUAUGAGAUCCAUUAAUAUAAUUUCUGUAGAACUAAAUGUCAAUCUCUCUGGCAUGUGUCUAUUGUUCUGUUUUUAUGAUUUUUUCUUCAAAAAGCUAUUAAUUUUAUUUCAUUAUAUCCAACACUCCAGAGUCCAGCCUUAUUGCAGUUUGUUUAUUGUUAGUUACAUCCCAUCAAACUUGAACUAUCUGUUAUUGUUUUAACUCCAAACAUUGCUGCCCAUGAUUGCAGUGAGUAUGAUUCUAAAGCCAUGGCAGAGAUAGGGGAGCUUCUGAGGAGCAUGGAGGCGAGGCGGCCUCAAUUAGUGGCGCUAACGAGCUUGCUCGUGGGGAAGAACGACGACAGUUUAGUUGUUGAGUCUGAAGAGAAGGAUGAUGACAAAAAUUAAGACAGCAAUAUUGAAGAUGGAAGUUGUGGAAGUUGAACCCAAUCCCAGCAACAAGGGAAAUGGAAAAAGGCACACCAAUGAAAGAAUGUUGAGCAUAUUAUAUAACAUUAAAACAAAGUUUGAAUUUGCAUCACCAUUAGAAUCUUGCAAGUAAGUUCUAACUUGCAGGACAGAAUAUUUGGUUUUAAUUUAUCAAUUGCGUGCUUUUAUAAACAGACGAAAGUAGUAAUAAGACUUUCAGUUUGCAUGGACGAAGGUAGUAAUAAAACUACAAUUUGAAUUUGCUGACGACUGCAUUUUGUUAGUGUACAUGUAUUCACCUUCCAUGAAUUCACUGCUUAUUUGUUGAUUUACCAUAGUAUAGACACAGAGUUGUCAGCUGAAAAGAGAGAGAGGAUUUGAUAGUGCAGCAGCUUGAACUUAGCUUGAUAACUGCGUUUCGUGCUCUUGUUGCUGAUUUUGUAAUCUGUUCUUGUCUCCUGUUUUCGUAGUGAAUUUUUCCUUACUUUGCGACCGUGGAUG